rnacentral:rRNA from 1 species
UAGGGAAUCUUCCGCAAUGGACGCAAGUCUGACGGAGCAACGCCGCGUGAGUGAAGAAGGAUUUCGGUUCGUAAAACUCUGUUGUUAGAGAAGAACAGCGCAUAGAGUAACUGUUAUGCGUGUGACGGUAUCUAACCAGAAAGCCACGGCUAACUACGUGCCAGCAGCCGCGGUAAUACGUAGGUGGCAAGCGUUGUCCGGAUUUAUUGGGCGUAAAGCGAGCGCAGGCGGUCAAUUAAGUCUGAUGUGAAAGCCCCCGGCUCAACCGGGGAGGGUCAUUGGAAACUGGUUGACUUGAGUGCAGAAGAGGAGAGUGGAAUUCCAUGUGUAGCGGUGAAAUGCGUAGAUAUAUGGAGGAACACCAGUGGCGAAGGCAACUCUCUGGUCUGUAACUGACGCUGAGGCUCGAAAGCGUGGGUAGCAAACAGG